UCGCGGUAGGGAUACCCGUUACCGGAUACCCCCCGCACAGAUCCCGGCGUGCGCGAUUUACGCACCGGGCUCCUGCCUCGGGUGUCUGGCGGUGAACCGCUCCACAGGCCAUGGAUGAAGAACCCGAACCCUUGGUAGCCAUGCGGCUGCCAGUUUGUUUGCUUUCGUCCAGGUCGUAUCAUCCUUCUGGCUCCUGCGCCUGAGCGCCCGGCGCCAGAGGUUUGUUACGUGUGUCCUGAACUUCUGCAUGGUGGGGAAGUUGCCCGGUACCGAGUGAUAGUUCAGGUAUCCCUGAACCACUCUCCUGAGCCAUUUUCCCUGUUCGGGGAUUGAGUAAUGCCAGCGCCUUCGCAGACCGUCUUUGAUGGCUUUCAGAGUUGCCGUCAUCCGAUCCCGGCGGGUCUUUCGUAUCAGCAUGAACCUGCCGUUGCGAUCUUUCCCGCUGAUGUGCGUGAACCCGAGGAAGUUGAACGUUUCUGGUUUGCCUUUUCCCCUGAUGGCACGGUUUUCGGCAGCGAAGCGGCCGAACUCCAUCAGACGGGUUUUCUCCGGGUGAACCGUGAGUCCGAACUCCCUCAGUCUGCGCUGCAUGGCUAUACGGAAGCGCCGGGCAUCGUAUCGUUUGUCGAACCCGAUGACGAUGUCAUCGGCGUAUCUGACCAUUACCACAUUGCCUGUGGCAUAGCGACGUCGCCACUGAUGCGCCCACAGAUCGAAGACGUAGUGGAGGUAUAUGUUUGCCAGCAGCGGUGAGAUGACCGCACCCUGUGGGGUGCCUUCCUCCGUUGCUCGCCAUUGACCCUCCUCCGACGUCCCGGCUGUGAGCCACUUACGUAUGAGCCUGAUUACCCUCCGGUCGCCGAUCCGAUGCUCUGUGAACCUGAUCAGCCAUUCGUGGCUCACCCUGUCGAAGAACUGACUGAUGUCGGCAUCCAGUACCCAGUUUACGUUAGUGCGUACCAGCCCUGUGGCCAGUGCGUCCAGUGCAUCGUGCUGGCUUCGCCCGGGUCUGAACCCGUAUGAGAACCCCAUAAAGUCGUUUUCAUAGACUGCGUUCAGGAUUUUCACCAGCGCAUACUGGACGAUCUUGUCCUCCAGCGAGGCGAUGCCGAGCGGGCGUUGUUUUCCAUCCGCUUUUGGGAUGUAGUGACGCCUGCCGGGCUGCGCCCUGUAGCUGCCCUGAUGUAGCCUCCGGUGCAGAUCUGUUAUGUUGUUCUUCAUGUUUCCGGCGUAGUCCAUCCACCUGAUGCCAUCCACUCCGGCGGCCGCUUUCCUGCUCAGGGAGAGGAAUGCGGCUUCCAGUGCUUCGACUGUCAGCAGGUGGAACAAUGCUGUAAACCGUUCUUUCUUCCGCUGCUUCGCAGCUUCCCGCACGCGUGACAGCCUCUGUGACAUGCUUUCCCGGCUCUGUGUCCGGCGCAUGUGUGGCUGUUCCGCGUUCCCCUUGGCCCCGCUCCUUCGCUCCACUGACUCCGCUCCUUUCGGGUUGUUCGCCUGCUUCGCCGCUACUAUGAGCGAGUCCGACUUCUCCUCUCCGUACAUCACCGGCUAUGACUCCUCGUCUUCCCGGUGCGGGCCAUCUCCGACACUGGCAGAUGGUCAGAGGGAGAUCUCCCGGUUCCCGCGUAGAGAUCGUAUUGACAUGCCAGGGUCUCAGACCCCGCCGGGUCCAUGUGGCACUCGCAGUAUCGCACCCUAUGAUGUUGCCUUCCGUUAACAGUACAACGUCGGCACCCGGUAAUUUAAUAUACAUUUCGUGGCUCAAUGGCUGGCCUGUCAACACCCCUGUCAACGCUUCGCCCCAUACCUCGCGGUAUGCAACGCAUGACUCGGGGACCUUGUGGAUUGCUGGUCCUUCAAUGGUCGGGGACUUUCACCCCUUGAUCUCUACCGGUCUCCCGGCGCACA
rnacentral:autocatalytically_spliced_intron from 1 species